rnacentral:rRNA from 1 species
GGUACACGAGCGGCGAACGGGUGAGUAACACGUGAGUAAUCUGCCCUUCACUCUGGGAUAGCCACCGGAAACGGUGAUUAAUACCGGAUAUGACAACUAGCCGCAUGGUUUGGUUGUGGAAAGUUCUGGCGGUGAAGGAUGGGCUCGCGGCCUAUCAGCUUGUUGGUGAGGUAAUGGCUCACCAAGGCUUCGACGGGUAGCCGGCCUGAGAGGGUGACCGGCCACACUGGGACUGAGACACGGCCCAGACUCCUACGGGAGGCAGCAGUGGGGAAUAUUGGACAAUGGGCGAAAGCCUGAUCCAGCAACGCCGCGUGAGGGAUGACGGCCUUCGGGUUGUAAACCUCUUUCAGCAGGGACGAAGCGAAAGUGACGGUACCUGCAGAAGAAGCACCGGCCAACUACGUGCCAGCAGCCGCGGUAAUACGUAGGGUGCGAGCGUUGUCCGGAAUUAUUGGGCGUAAAGGGCUCGUAGGCGGUUGGUCACGUCGGGAGUGAAAACUCGGAGCUUAACUCCGAGCCUGCUUCCGAUACGGGCCGACUAGAGGUAUGCAGGGGAGAACGGAAUUCCUGGUGUAGCGGUGAAAUGCGCAGAUAUCAGGAGGAACACCGGUGGCGAAGGCGGUUCUCUGGGCAUUACCUGACGCUGAGGAGCGAAAGUGUGGGGAGCGAACAGGAUUAGAUACCCUGGUAGUCCACACCGUAAACGUUGGGCGCUAGGUGUGGGACACAUUCCACGUGUUCCGUGCCGCAGCUAACGCAUUAAGCGCCCCGCCUGGGGAGUACGGCCGCAAGGCUAAAACU